rnacentral:rRNA from 1 species
UACAGAGGGGGCCAGCGUUAUUCGGAAUUAUUGGGCGUAAAGGGCGCGUAGGCGGCCAUGCGUGUCUUCCGUGAAAUCCCUCGGCUUAACUGAGGACGUGCGGAAGAAACCGCAAGGCUUGAGUCCGGGAGAGGGGGGUGGAAUUCCCAGUGUAGCGGUGAAAUGCGUAGAUAUUGGGAGGAACACCGGUGGCGAAGGCGGCCCCCUGGACCGGUACUGACGCUGAGGCGCGAAAGCGUGGGUAGCAAACAGG